AAUCAACGCUGGCGGCGUGCCUCAGACAUGCAAGUCGAACGCGAAAGUUCCCUUCGGGGGAUGAGUAGAGUGGCGCACGGGUGAGUAACACGUAGGUAAUCUACCUUUGGAUGGGGAAUAACAAUCGGAAACGGUUGCUAAUACCGCAUAAUGCAGCGGCACCUAAUGGUGACAGUUGUUAAAGCGGGGGAGUCGAAAGACCUCGCGUCUGAAGAGGAGCCUGCGGCGGAUUAGCUAGUUGGUAAGGUAACGGCUUACCAAGGCGACGAUCCGUAGCCGGCCUGAGAGGGCGGUCGGCCACACUGACACUGACAUACGGGUCAGACUCCUACGGGAGGCAGCAGUCGGGAAUUUUGGGUCAAUGGGCGAAAGCCUGACCCAGCAACGCCGCGUGAAGGA
rnacentral:rRNA from 1 species